GCCGAGGUAGCUCAGUGGUAGAGCGAAGGACUGAAAAUCCUUGCGUCGCCAGUUCAAUCCUGGCCCUCGGCA
rnacentral:tRNA from 1 species